GAUGUGGUGAAAAUCGUCUGAUACCAAGUUAUCUUAUUAGAAGAAAACUACAAAAAAACAAGGAUUAAUACUCAAAACUUUGGAAGGAGCCAAAAAGUCAGUUGGAAAUUAACAAUUUGUAAUGUCCAUCCUUUCAUGUUAAUAUAAACUACUUUCAUGUUAUUAGAAACAUUGAACUAGUUCCUUUAGGAACUGCGCCAAACAGAUGGAUAGUCGACAUUUCACGGUGAAUGAAUGAAAAUGAAUGAAUAUUAACAGCCUGUUCCACGAUCUCGAAAGAAAAUUUGUGCGAACGAAGGCUACUCACUCACUUUCGCAUAAGAAUGCGGUCCACUAACUUUCGUUCUUUCUUUCGCAUAGCCUUACGUGAUUCAGUGUUGCAAAAUAUUUUUUUGGCAAAAUUAAUCGCGAAAUAAGGCAAAAAAAAGCGCCAAAUGUCUAAUUUAAACGCGAAAAAGCAGCAGUGGCUCUGUCUCAACUGACAGUUCAGUUGUAAACAAAUAAAUUGUAAAUAAACAAACAAAAUAAAAUUUCUAGUGAUUGUGUUCAGAUUAUUUGUGUUCUUAAAAAAGAAAAAAAAUGAAUAUUUCUGUAGCCCUAUUUUUUAUGGAUGAUGAGGAGGAGGUUCAAAUUGUGCCACGGAGGCAUUUAAGAGAUGCUUCGAAUUUAUUUGAAGUACCUAACAACCAGUUCGUGUCUUCCAGUGGUCUUCAUGGGAUUUCCUGCUGCUUCCAAAAAUUGGCACUCCUCUGGCGAACUUAGGAUUCUCCCCCAUAUACUCAACUAGUGCCCGCAGCUGUGUAGUUUUUUCGUGCUGGAAUUGAGAAAAUAAAAAAAUAUAUAUUUGUUGUUCACAGAUUAAA